rnacentral:rRNA from 1 species
CACCUUUAUCUUUCCACCUGUGCACCUUUUGUAGACUUAGAUGUAACCUUUUUCCGAGGCAACUCGGGGUUGGGAGGAAUGCUUUUAUAAGGCUUUCCUUGUGCAUCCUAGUCUAUGUUUUAUAUACUCCAAACAUGUAACAGAAUGUAUCAUUGGGCUUUGUGCCUAUAAAACUAUAUACAACUUUCAGCAACGGAUCUCUUGGCUCUCGCAUCGAUGAAGAACGCAGCGAAAUGCGAUAAGUAAUGUGAAUUGCAGAAUUCAGUGAAUCAUCGAAUCUUUGAACGCACCUUGCGCUCCUUGGUAUUCCGAGGAGCAUGCCUGUUUGAGUGUCAUUAAAUUCUCAACCUUUAUUAGCUUUCGCAAGCUUGGUAAAGGAUUGGAUGUGAGGGCUUAUGCUGGCUUCGAAAGAUGUCUGCUCCCUUCAAAUAUAUUAGCUGGUGCCCGUGCGGAACCGUCUAUUGGUGUGAUAAUUAUCUACGCUAUUAGACAUCUGCAUUAAAUGGGUUAUACUGCUUCUAACUGUCUAUUUAAUUAGACAAUACAUGACUAUUUGACCUCAAAUCAGGUAGGACUACCCGCUGAACUUAAGCAUAUCAAUAGCCGGAGGGAGNUCAAUAUUGAAUAAACUUGACGUGGUUGUAGCUGAUCUUUUCGAAGAUAUGUGCUCGCCUGUCACCUUUAUCUUUCCACCUGUGCACCUUUUGUAGACUUAGAUGUAACCUUUUUCGAGGCAACUCGGGGUUGGGAGGAAUGCUUUUAUAAGGCUUUCUUGUGCAUCUAGUCUAUGUUUUAUAUACUCAAACAUGUAACAGAAUGUAUCAUGGGCUUUGUGCUAUAAACUAUAUACACUUUCGCACGGAUCUCUUGGCUCUCCAUGAUGAAGAACGCA